GAUGAACGCUGGCGGCGUGCCUAAUACAUGCAAGUCGAGCGAACAGACGAGGAGCUUGCUCCUCUGACGUUAGCGGCGGACGGGUGAGUAACACGUGGAUAACCUACCUAUAAGACUGGGAUAACUUCGGGAAACCGGAGCUAAUACCGGAUAAUAUAUUGAACCGCAUGGUUCAAUAGUGAAAGACGGUUUUGCUGUCACUUAUAGAUGGAUCCGCGCCGCAUUAGCUAGUUGGUAAGGUAACGGCUUACCAAGGCGACGAUGCGUAGCCGACCUGAGAGGGUGAUCGGCCACACUGGAACUGAGACACGGUCCAGACUCCUACGGGAGGCAGCAGUAGGGAAUCUUCCGCAAUGGGCGAAAGCCUGACGGAGCAACGCCGAGUGAGUGAUGAAGGUCUUGGGAUCGUAAAACUCUGUUAUUAGGGAAGAACAAAUGUGUAAGUAACUAUGCACGUCUUGACGGUACCUAAGCAGAAAGCCACGGCUAACUACGUG
rnacentral:rRNA from 1 species